rnacentral:tRNA from 1 species
GGGGAUUUAGCUCAGUGGUAGAGCGCUUGCCUAGCAAGCACAAGGCCCUGGGUUCCAUCCCCAGCUCUG